rnacentral:rRNA from 1 species
GAACUGAAGAGUUUGAUCAUGGCUCAGAUUGAACGCUGGCGGCAGGCCUAACACAUGCAAGUCGAGCGGAUGAAGGGAGCUUGCUCCUGGAUUUAGCGGCGGACGGGUGAGUAAUGCCUAGGAAUCUGCCUGGUAGUGGGGGAUAACGUCCGGAAACGGGCGCUAAUACCG